rnacentral:tRNA from 3 species
UGGGAUGUAGCCAAGCGGUAAGGCAACGGUUUUUGGUAUCGUGAUGCGCAGGUUCGAAUCCUGCCAUCCCAG